rnacentral:rRNA from 1 species
UACGGAGGGUGCAAGCGUUAUCCGGAUUCACUGGGUUUAAAGGGUGCGUAGGUGGGCAGGUAAGUCAGUGGUGAAAUCUCCGGGCUUAACUCGGAAACUGCCAUUGAUACUAUCUGUCUUGAAUACCGUGGAGGUUAGCGGAAUAUGUCAUGUAGCGGUGAAGUGCUUAGAUAUGACAUAGAACACCAAUUGCGAAGGCAGCUGGCUACACGAAUAUUGACACUGAUGCACGAAAGCGUGGGGAUCAAACAGG